GUCAGUAUGUCCGAGUGGUUAAGGAGGCAGACUCGAAAUCUGCUGGGUUUACCCGCGCAGGUUCAAAUCCUGCUGCUGACG